rnacentral:lncRNA from 1 species
AUCUUUAACCUAUUACCAACAACAAUGGAAAAUAAUGCAAAAUCAAAUAACUAGAAAUAAAUUCAAAGGCAAUAGAGCAUACAAAAUUCAAUUUUCAAACAUAAUGAUGACAAAUUAGGCUUUGUGGGGUUAAGCCAAGAAAAGCCGAAAAGGGGAGGAAUGGGUUUUGGUCUUCAAAAUCAUGUAUGUUGUUCAAGCCAUUGUUCUCAUCUCCACUUUUGCUUUCUUCUUACUUUGCCGCGGCUGCACUUCUAAUCUCCUUUUCUUCUUCCUUUGCUGUUUGGUUUUUAUUUUGUAUUCUUUAAUUAAUUUUUCAAUUCUUUCUUCAUCGAUCUUCUUCACCUCUGAUGAUGAUGAACAUAAACACAGCAAAGUAGCGAAGCAAUGUUGAGUGGUGACGAUGAUUUGAUGAAGAGAAGGGUUGAACGGAGAGAAAAUGGUUUGGCUUGAUGAUGAUUUGAUGAAGAGAAUGGAGAGAGUGAAAAUGUUUGGUAGUGGCGGUGAAUUAGGGCAAGGCUAAUUUUUUUUAUUUUUCAAUUUAUAUUAAAUAAAGAUGUUCGGGUCUGGGUUCUGAAUUUACGGGUUUACCCAAACCUGGAACCGGACCCGGAUACAUCCGGGUUGAUAAAAUUCAAUCUGAAUUUAAUUUGUUUCAGUACGGGUUGAACCUAGACCGAAUUUUUUGGGUUCGUCCGGGUCCGAGUUAAAUUGUCA